rnacentral:rRNA from 1 species
UACGGGAGGCAGCAGUGGGGAAUAUUGCACAAUGGGCGCAAGCCUGAUGCAGCCAUGCCGCGUGUAUGAAAAAGGCCUUCGGGUUGUAAAGUACUUUCAGUCGUGAGGAAGGUGUUAAGGUUAAUAACCUUAGCAAUUGACGUUAGCGACAGAAGAAGCACCGGCUAACUCCGUGCCAGCAGCCGCGGUAAUACGGAGGGUGCGAGCGUUAAUCGGAAUUACUGGGCGUAAAGGGCACGCAGGCGGUUAAUUAAGUUGGAUGUGAAAUCCCCGGGCUUAACCUGGGAAUGGCAUUCAAGACUGGUUAGCUAGAGUCUUGUAGAGGGGGUAGAAUUCCAUGUGUAGCGGUGAAAUGCGUAGAGAUGUGGAGGAAUACCGGUGGCGAAGGCGGCCCCUGGACAAAGACUGACGCUCAUGUGCGAAAGCGUGGGGAGCGAAACAGGGAUUAGAUAC